rnacentral:snRNA from 1 species
AUUGCUUCUCGGCCUUUUGGCUAAGAUCAAGUGUAGUAUCUGUUCUUAUCAGCUUAAUAAGUUUAAAACAAGGUGAAAAGAAUUUGUUUGCUUCAAAUAUUAAUUUAAACAGAGCUUAA